AUUCACCUGCAAAAGUGAUGACCUUAAAUGACCCAAGCCAGAGCAAUCAGCACUAGAUCGAGUCGAGCGGCUCUCAGCCAAUUAAAUUACGCUGUUUGAUCACAUGACAUGUUAGCCGGCAGUGUCUUCUGAAAAGAGAGCUGUUUAGAGGUGAGUGAUUAAGUUUUUCUCCUAAAUAGAGAUCAUUACAGAACGCCUAGUCCUACUUAAAAUACCAUUCGUUUUUCUUUUAUUUUAUCAUCUACUCGAACUGAGGAAAACGUUUGACUAACUCAAAGAAAAGUUCCGCGCCUCCCCUGCCUGUCUGCAGAGGCAGUUUUGAAUUCAGGAGCGGCAUGAUGGCAGCGGCAAACCCUGGCGGUUCUCCGGGUUCGUGGCAACCACGGAUGGGAAAAUGUGGAGGUUGCACGGCUGAUGUUUACUGUUCGUGGCACAGGAAGAGGCAGUUUCAUUUCAGGAAUGAGUGUGCACAAUCAAAGAAUAGAGCGACUGUGGAGAGACCUCUGGGUGGCCGUUACAUGCAUUUACUACGAUGUUCUUCACAACCCUGAGGAAGAAGGCCUUCUUGACAUUUCAAAUGCUGCACACCUCUUUUGCUGCCAUUACAUCUUUCUUCCUCGACUAGAGGAUAAUUUUAAUACAUUUUGCAGUGGAUGGGACAACCAUUCACUGCGAACAGAAAACAACAUGAGUCCCCCAACCAGCUGUGGGAGUUGGGUCACAGAUAUUACCCUGUUCCUGUUCCAGAAAACACACAGCUUAUCACACAUUUGAUUUCCAUGUGUGACGACUGCAAGUGUCCAGAGUGAGGACAGACUGAGGGACCCACUGCUGCACAUCAUCUGUGAGGCUUUGCACCCCUGAUGAUCCACCAGGACACACUCAGCAGUGUGUGAGGAAGAGGAGGAGGAAGAGCCAGCAGCAGCUGACAGAUGGAGAGAAUAGACAGACUGUUCCCUGUUUGUGAAGGACUGCUAGAAAAGUUUAAAAUAACUAAUUGUCUGUCCUGAAUCAGUCUUAUUAGGUAAUGUUCAAAUAAUGUUAUCAUUCCAGUGUUUUCAGUGUGGGAGAAAGUACUCAGGGCCUUCAAGUUACACACUAUGAAAGGCAGCAACAAGUUUAAUAUUCAGAAACCUAAAGUAUGUAUCAGCAGCAGAAUGGAGCUAAAAAUAAAUGUUUGUUUCAGUUCUAUGAAGCUUUGAGUAUUUUGGAUUAGUAGUACUGCUGUGUUUGUUGCAUCAUAUUGCUGUAAUUGUUUAUAUGCUUUAUAUACUCAGAGGUAAGUUGAUCUAUGGUGUUAGAUCAUAUUCUAUAAGGAUGUUAUGUGUUUGUAUACUUUCUGCCCAGUUUGACCCAUUUAGCAGACGUCAGUCUGUUUAAGGCUCUGAUAUCUAUUCUGUAUGACUUAAAGCAGUUAUGACAUGGUCUGAUUUUCUCACCCAAUAAAGGAAUAUUUCAUAUAUCAGUCUACUCUUCAUUCUAUCAGCAACAGUUAUCACAGCUCGUACAUUUUCUUUUUACACAUAUAUGUGAGC